AGGACCUAGAAUGUCAGAGCUAUAAGAAACCUCAAAGACCACCUAGUUCAGCUUUGUCAUUUUACAUUGAAAACUGUGGUUCAGAAAUGGGAAUUACUUGCUCAAGAAUGCAAAUUUCUCAAGAAAAGGAGCUCUGAGACUGAUGGUCAUUGAACAGGAAGGGAUUAAAAGUCAGAACCUUACUCAGGACAGAUUUUGAGAGGGUAAGGAGGGAAAUAAACUAUUAGGUGGCUGAAGUGAGCCAGGCCUAGUGUGCUGGGAUGAAGUGAAAUAACUUACCCAAAGUCACACAUCUUUUAAGUGGCAAAGUCAGAAUUGAAACCCAAGUCACUUACCUCUAAACCCAUACCUGCUUCCUUUACACCAGAUGACUUCCUCCGACUACGCACAUGGCCUCAGAGGGUUGCUACAACUGAAAAAUUCAUCACACUUCAGCCAACCUGCUGGUGAAUCCCUCUGCCCUCAAACAUCAACCCAGUCAUCAAGCCCAUACUGCUACUAUAAUCAAAGGAAUGCUAAAUCAGGCAUGAAACAUAUAGGGGAAGGC